AUUUUUUCAGAUUCACAGAGUGAUAGAAUCCGGAAUACGUUUUGAAAUAGAAAAAUUUCUGAAACAAAUAUGGUAGACUAAGCUGUCAGUGAAGGUCAAGAGAAAAUACAAUGCUUUUGGCUUGGCACACACUUUCUCAGUAUCCAUUAUUUUUCCAACCAACUUUCAUGCAUUCGGGCAGGGCAAAUUAGACGUUUUUAUUGACUGUUCAUCGUUGAGUUAAUUGAAUUGCCAAAUUUAAAAAAAUGAAAGUGAAUGAUGAUUCACUUUAUCCCAUUAUGAGAAAGUGUAGAAAGUUUUAUUCCCAUCACAAAAAAACAAAA